GCUACAGGCUUAACACAUGCAAGUCGAGGGGCAGCAUUUUAGUUUGCUUGCAAACUGAAGAUGGCGACCGGCGCACGGGUGAGUAACACGUAUCCAACCUGCCGAUAACUCCGGGAUAGCCUUUCGAAAGAAAGAUUAAUACCGGAUAGCAUACGAAUAUCGCAUGAUAUUUUUAUUAAAGAAUUUCGGUUAUCGAUGGGGAUGCGUUCCAUUAGUUUGUUGGCGGGGUAACGGCCCACCAAGACUACGAUGGAUAGGGGUUCUGAGAGGAAGGUCCCCCACAUUGGAACUGAGACACGGUCCAAACUCCUACGGGAGGCAGCAGUGAGGAAUAUUGGUCAAUGGGCGAGAGCCUGAACCAGCCAAGUAGCGUGAAGGAUGAAGGCUCUAUGGGUCGUAAACUUCUUUUAUAUGGGAAUAAAGUUUUCCACGUGUGGAAUUUUGUAUGUACCAUAUGAAUAAGGAUCGGCUAACUCCGUGCCAGCAGCCGCGGUAAUACGGAGGAUCCGAGCGUUAUCCGGAUUUAUUGGGUUUAAAGGGAGCGUAGGUGGAUUGUUAAGUCAGUUGUGAAAGUUUGCGGCUCAACCGUAAAAUUGCAGUUGAAACUGGCAGUCUUGAGUACAGUAGAGGUGGGCGGAAUUCGUGGUGUAGCGGUGAAAUGCUUAGAUAUCACGAAGAACUCCGAUUGCGAAGGCAGCUCACUAGACUGUCACUGACACUGAUGCUCGAAAGUGUGGGUAUCAAACAGGAUUAGAUACCCUGGUAGUCCGCACAGUAAACGAUGAAUACUCGCUGUUUGCGAUAUACAGUAAGCGGCCAAGCGAAAGCAUUAAGUAUUCCACCUGGGGAGUACGCCGGCAACGGUGAAACUCAAAGGAAUUGACGGGGGCCCGCACAAGCGGAGGAACAUGUGGUUUAAUUCGAUGAUACGCGAGGAACCUUACCCGGGCUUAAAUUGCAACAGAAUAUAUUGGAAACAGUAUAGCCGUAAGGCUGUUGUGAAGGUGCUGCAUGGUUGUCGUCAGCUCGUGCCGUGAGGUGUCGGCUUAAGUGCCAUAACGAGCGCAACCCUUAUCUUUAGUUACUAACAGGUUAUGCUGAGGACUCUAGAGAGACUGCCGUCGUAAGAUGUGAGGAAGGUGGGGAUGACGUCAAAUCAGCACGGCCCUUACGUCCGGGGCUACACACGUGUUACAAUGGGGGGUACAGAAGGCGGCUACCUGGUGACAGGAUGCUAAUCCCAAAAACCUCUCUCAGUUCGGAUCGAAGUCUGCAACCCGACUUCGUGAAGCUGGAUUCGCUAGUAAUCGCGCAUCAGCCAUGGCGCGGUGAAUACGUUCCCGGGCCUUGUACACACCGCCCGUCAAGCCAUGAAAGCCGGGGGUACCUGAAGUACGUAACCGCAAGGAGCGUCCUAGGGUAAAACUGGUAAUUGGGGCU
rnacentral:rRNA from 1 species